GAGAGAUGGGGGGAGAGAGAGAGAGAGAGGAGAGUUUCUGGCGUUGAGUGUAUUUAUCUCUUUUUCUCUUGCUGUCUCUGUCUGUGUACUUCCAGGGGAUUUGGUUUUUAGUAGGGUACUGUGGAUUUCUAGGUCCCCAGGACAAAUCUCCUGCUGCCUCUCCCUCUCUCUGCCCUGUCUCUAUCUCCCUCUGCAGUCUUCACUCCACUUGCUGGCCAGCGACUUCACAACUGCCUCCUGCUUUUAAGGUGGCUCUGGACGGGUGUAUGUGGGGAGGGGGGGCCGCCUGGGCUGCUAGUGAGCAGCUCCUUAAAUAGCCGAUUAGGUAUGCAGGAUGGCCCCACUAGGAUCUGGAGCUCCACGGGUUUCACCGGAGCCCUGGCCCUGGCUCAGGAGCCCAGCUGGAGUGAACUCUUCCCUCCUCUGCUAUUCACACCGCCGCCGCUCAGACGGGUGUCCCCUGGAGCAGGAAAGUUUUGUGUUUUGAGGUUCCUCCAAAGCUCCAUCCAUCCCAUCUAAGAAGAAUAAAAGGCUUAAAGUAUAAAUUGGACUUCUGCGGAAUCAGGGUAGUUAACACAAAGGAACAGAAAAAAAGAAAGAAGGCAGAGAUAGCUUGGUAUGAAAGAAGAGGUCUAGUAGGAAAGAAGACGUCUGGACAGAAUGACCUCUGCCAGGACAGAGUUCCCUGGAGCCACAGGGGCUGAGGAUUCAGACUCCCAAGGCAGGAACCCACUAAGUGCUCUGCGUUUGUGUGGUGGAGUAAAUGAGAGUUCAAUAAAGAAGGGAAGAUCAAAAGGGAACAAGCAUGGUCACACAGGAACUUACUCAAGCUCCAGUACUGCGGAUAACUAAUUGCCGAGAAGAGAGGAUCCGUGAGGAGACAAGAUUAGAUGGAAUGAGAUUUCCUAGAAGAACAAGCCGUGUGCCAUGAAGUAAUAGAGACCCAGAGGUGUUCUAGUUCGGUCCCAAGCUGAUGGUGACACUGGUGGUUGAGGAUCCACACUUGAGAACCACUGCCUUGUACCAACGGGAGAAGCAGAGGAACGUAAACUAAGGACCCUAGAAUUGGUGUUCCACCUCUAGGCAAAAAUUCAGUAUUUUUCUUUCCCUUGUGACCUAUCAGCUAUCACGCAGAAAUAAAAUUCACUUGUAUUGUGAUUAAAUUUCUGUACAAUGACUCUUAUCUUCUUAUGGUCUUUCAGUAUAAAGUGAGAGAUAAGUUAAUUUGGGGGAAAUUUUGGCUUAAAGAUAGGUAAAGUCUACAUUAGUGAGUGUAGCAAGCUCUUCAAAGAUACAUGUUAACCCAUCAUUUUAUGAGAAAGUAUGACACUAAAAUAAUUUCUACGAGUGCAAAAUACUGUUGUAUAUCAAAACAGCUUAAAUAACUGAGCAGGAGAAAAACUUAAUUAAAUGUAUCACAAUCCACCAAUAGUCAUCCAACUUCUAUCAAAUCUCAGAAUAUUUCAGUAGAAUGACAUUCAACUCUAAUCACUAAGAUUUUGUAUUGGUAUUUUUGUGGAAGCAAUUGGCUUGAUUGAACUGAAAUUAAGUGGAAACACAAACACAGCCUUGGCAAAAAAAAAAAAAAUCUAAUCUGUAUUAAUAAGUAAAGAAGCAGGGGAACAUAAUUACUAAAACAUAUGGCAGAGGUGUACACCAAAAUCAUGUCAACAGGUAUUGUGCAUUGAAUAAGUUUUCUAUCUUAUAAUUGUGUAAGUUUGGAUUUGGUAUGCUAAAUUUCUAUAUAAAUAGAUAUAACUGUAUUCUUGUCUUUCAUCACAGAAUUAGAAAAGCAGCUAUUAGUUGAAAGACUGUUGGUCUACUGACUAUAUUUUGUUUGUGGAAAGUCCACAAGUUAGCAGUUAGUUAUUUCAUGUUAUUUUUAAGUUUAAUUUUUUAUCAAAGUAGUAGAGGUAUAUAGUUUAAAAAGUCCAAUAGAUUAACAAAGGCUGUAAUGAACCAUUUUAUUCUUCCUACAUCUAAAUCCUACUUCCUAGAGACAAUCACUGCAACUUUUUAACUGUUUCUACUAGUAUUUAACUUAAAUUUCCAAAAACAUGUUUAUACUGCUAUGAAGUAUGUUUUCAAAAACAUGUUUAUGAAAAAUGAAGCUUUAUUUCUUUCACACAACAUUUCUUUCCUGACACAUACUUCUCCUAGCCUCAACCUCUUAAUAUAGUUAUCCAAGGAGUGUAUUAUGAGGUUUCCUUUCUUGCAAAACUUUAUUUAUUUAUUUAUUGUUUGCUUAUUUGUUUUUGUUUUGUUU